CACGUAGGGUGCGAGCGUUGUCCGGAAUUAUUGGGCGUAAAGAGCUCGUAGGCGGUGUGUCGCGUCGGCCGUGAAAACCUGGGGCUUAACUCUGGGCUUGCGGUCGAUACGGGCAUCACUGGAGUUCGGCAGGGGAGACUGGAAUUCCUGGUGUAGCGGUGAAAUGCGUAGAUAUCAGGAGGAACACCGGUGGCGAAGGCGGCUAUCUGGACAGAGUCUGACGCUGAGGCGCGAAAGCUAGGGGAGCAAACAGG
rnacentral:rRNA from 1 species